rnacentral:rRNA from 1 species
GUCUUUUUGAAAUUUAUAAAAAGUCUGGCCUGCUCAAUGAAAUUAAAUAGCCGCGGUAUUUUGACCGUGCGAAGGUAGCAUAAUAAAUAGUCUAUUAAAUGUGGUCUGGAAUGAAAGGUUAAACGAAGAAUAUCUUUAUUAAUAUUAUGGUUGAAUUUGAAUUAUUAGUAAGAAUGCUAAUAUAAAUUAGAGGGACGAGAAGACCCUAUAGAGCUUUAUAUAUUAAAAUUUUAUGUGGAUUUUUUAAAAAUAUUUUGUUGGGGCGACGUAUAAUAUAAACAUUAAAUAUAAUUUCUGUUUUAUAGGUAUUAUGAUCCAUUUAUAGUGAUUUUAGACCAAGUUACCUUAGGGAUAACAGCGUAAUUUUAUUAUAGAGUUCUUAUCGAUAAUAAAGUUUGCGACCUCGAUGUUGGAUUAGAAUUCCUUUAUGGCGCAGGAGUUUUAUUAGGUAGUCUGUUCGACUAUUAAAAUUCUACAUGAUCU